UGGGGAAUAUUGCACAAUGGGCGCAAGCCUGAUGCAGCCAUGCCGCGUGUAUGAAGAAGGCCUUCGGGUUGUAAAGUACUUUCAGCGGGGAGGAAGGGAGUAAAGUUAAUACCUUUGCUCAUUGACGUGACCCGCAGAAGAAGCACCGGCUAACUCCGUGCCAGCAGCCGCGGUAAUACGGAAGGUGCAAGCGUUAAUCGGAAUUACUGGGCGUAAAGCGCACGCAGGCGGUUUGUUAAGUCAGAUGUGAAAUCCCCGGGCUCAACCUGGGAACUGCAUCUGAUACUGGCAAGCUUGAGUCUCGUAGAGGGGGGUAGAAUUCCAGGUGUAGCGGUGAAAUGCGUAGAGAUCUGGAGGAAUACCGGUGGCGAAGGCGGCCCCCUGGACGAAGACUGACGCUCAGGUGCGAAAGCGUGGGGAGCAAACAGG
rnacentral:rRNA from 1 species